rnacentral:lncRNA from 1 species
AUAGGCCCAUUUUUAUUGAAAUUGAGUUCGUUUGGUUAAUUCUAGCCGAGGUCUUUGUCUUUCCAACUUACCACCACCCCCAGGCAAACUAAUCCAUCCAUCUAGAUAUUCCUCAACCUUCUUUACCACCUCGUAUGAAAAACUUUGUAAUUUACACAAUCAGAGGUAUGUAUGUAUAUAUAUAUAUCUGGUUUUGAAUUUAUUUUAUUAAAAAGCUGUAUUAGAUUUUAAUUUUUAAGCCAAUAACUUACCCAAUUAUUUACAUGUUAGAUUAGGCUACGUUCAUCCCUUUACCUUUUCUGACCGGGGGUUUACAUUAUUUCUUUAUAUUAGGGUUUUUUUUUUUUUUACAAUUUAUUUAGGAAAUCAAUCUAACAUCUAAUUUACAAUUAUUACUUUCCAAGAUUCACACAUACAUUCGUACAUGCAAGGAUAAAAUGUUUGUUAUUUUGAUAGGUCCAGAAAGCUAACCCACUCGUACACACCCAUCUGGGUCUCUCCAAAAUGCACAUGGAAGCAAAUCCGGAUCACAAUAAAUGCAUGCAAAACAAAAAGAAUGGAAGCUGGAAUGAAAGCUUGUGCCGCUCUAAAUCUCCUUUACUACGGGUAAAAGGAAAAUGUUAACUUGCACAUCAUCUGAUUCUUCUUUAAAUUUAUCUGAACAAAUUUUGAGACAUGCGUCUUUUAGAACCUAACAAUUUAAAUUGCAGUACACAUUCGGAUAAUAUAAGAUGUAUUCAACGGCCAUUCGUGCAUGAAAAAUUUCCAAGAAACAAUCAAAUUGCAAAGAAUAUUAAGAAAGUAACAUUGAAUCGGAAACAAGAAUAAAAAAAAAUAGAUGAGAUUGAUACCAUUAAGCCUUGUAAACCAUUUACAUAGGCACAAUUAUUCUCGGGACUAAUUACCAUUGGCCUAUACAUUACUCGUAGAUAACGUAUCAGAUGUGGGAAAAAAAAUGAUAACUAGAACAUGGCAGGAAAAUUUAGAUCUACUUGGAAAAGAACAAAACAAAACUGAACUACUAGCUCAUUGUUGCUUCAAAGACUGAGAGAGGGCACCAAAAUCCUGCAUCUUCUCUUCCUUUUCUCUGAGUCUCUUUAGUUGAUCCAACUUAUUUCUUAGUUUGUUUGCUCUGAUUAUAUCUAGCUUGUGCAGGAUCCUUCAUUUUCAUGAAUGUUAGG